rnacentral:rRNA from 1 species
AACCAACGCUGGCGGCGUGCCUAAUACAUGCAAGUCGAACGGGGAAAGUAGCAAUAUGAGUACUAGUGGCGCCCGGGUGAGUAACGCGUGGAUAAUCUGCCUUGAAGAGGGGGAUAACUAGUCGAAAGAUUAGCUAAUACCGCAUAAGACCACAAGAACUGAGGUUCAAGGGGUCAAAGGUUUUUCGCUUCAAGAUGAGUCCGCGUAAGAUUAGCUAGUUGGUGAGGUAAUGGCUCACCAAGGCAACGAUCUUUAACUGGUCUGAGAGGAUGAUCAGUCACACUGGAACUGAGACACGGUCCAGACUCCUACGGGAGGCAGCAGUAGGGAAUAUUGCACAAUGGAGGAAACUCUGAUGCAGCGACGCCGCGUGAGUGAUGAAGGCCUUCGGGUCGUAAAGCUCUGUCGCAGGGGAAUAACACAAUGAAUGUACCCUGUAAGAAAGGAUCGGCUAACUUCGUG